UGCUUAACACAUGCAAGUCGAACGGGAGCCUUUGGAUCCGUCUGAAGGGGAGAGUGGCGAACGGGUGAGUACCACGUGGGUGACCUGCCUCGAAGACGGGGAUAACCACUGGAAACGGUGGCUAAUACCCGAUGGUCUCGAUAAUCCGGUCUAUCGAGUAAAGGCUCCGGCGCUUUGAGAGGGACCUGCAGUCCAUCAGCUACUUGGUAGGGUAAUGGCCUAGCAAGGCCAAGACGGGUAGGGGGCGUGAGAGCGUGAGCCCCCACACUGGCACUGGGACACGGGCCAGACUCCUACGGGAGGCAGCAGUGAGGAAUAUUGCGCAAUGAGCGAAAGCUAGACGCAGCAACGCCGCGUGCGGUGAUCGAAGGCCUUCGGGUCGCAAAACCCUUUUCUGGGGUGAACAGUAACGACGGUACCCCAAGAAUAAGCCUCGGCUAACUAUGUGCCAGCAGCCGCGGUAAUACAUAGGAGGCAAGCGUUAUCCGGAUUUACUGGGCGUAAAGAGCGUUGAGGCGGCUUCGUAAGUUGGACGUGACAGCUCCCGGCUUAACUGGGAGAGGCCGUUCAAUACUGCGGGGCUUGAGGACAGCAGAGGGGGGUGGACUUUCCGGUGUAGUGGUGAAAUGCGUAGAUAUCGGAAGGAACACCAUUGGCGAAUGCGGCCCCCUGGGCUGCUCCUGACGCUGAAGGCGAAAGCUAGGGUAGCGAACGGGAUUAGAAACCCCGGUAGUCCUAGCCGUUAACGAUGGAUACUAGGUGUAGGAGCUUAAAAUUCCUUCUGUGCCGGAGCUAACGCGUUAAGGAUCCCGCCUGGGGAGUACGGUCGCAAGGCUAAAACUCAAAGGAAUUGACGGGGGCCCGCACAAGCAGCGGAGCGUGUGGUUUAAUUCGAUGCUACGCGGAGAACCUUACCAGGGCUUGACAUGUAGGUAGUAGUGAAGCGUAAGCGGAACGAUCCUUCGGGAAGCCUACACAGGUGCUGCUAUGGCUGUCGUCAAGCUCGUGCCGUGAGGUGUUAGGUUAAGUCCUGUGACGAGCGCAACCCCUGCCGUUAGUUACAAGUG
rnacentral:rRNA from 1 species